AAUAUGUAGCGACAGUCGAUUAAAACUGCCCCUACACAACAAAUGGCUGCCGCUACAUGAAAAGGCGUAAGUUUCAUUUUUCCCUUCCUCACGCCUCUUCCCGCCGUCUCUCUCCACUCUUGCUCAGUCGUCUAUCGCUUUCUCUCUCGCGCUCUCUCUCUCUCUCCCCCUUUCUCUCACAGUCGCCCCUCUCUCGCGCUCUUUCUCUCUCAGUUGUCCCUCUUUCGCUCUCUCUCUUGCUCUGUCAAGGGAGUGAUGUCUCUGUCAAAAUAGUGUUCUGAGGUAAAGUCGAUGCUUCUUCAGGCCUUUUUCUCGGAUUGGAAUUCUAGGUAAAGCCUAACUUGAGGCUCCACAAACAAGUUCUUCCCCUCCUACAGCAACUCCCCAAGUUACGCCAGCAACAUCAGCUUCGUCACCAUCAGUUCCUUUAUCUGCACAUACCCCUGUCACAGCUACCCUUACUUCUACUACUGUCCCGAAGCUGUAAGAGCUCAUAUGGCUUGACAUGGAAGCCUUGAUAUAACCACAGCUUGCCAAAUUGGCCUAUGGGACAACAGAGAUGUACCUAGGAAGGAGGAUCCUGUUUACCCCUUGUUGUCAAGUAAUUUAAUCAUGGCACUUGAGGUGGGCUGGGAUAUUAUUGUUGUCAAGUAAUUUAAUCAUGGGGUUAAUCUGCCCCCAAGGUGAAAUUCUUUCACAUGGGUGGUUGCACUAGAAAAAUGUUUGACUAAGGAGAUGCUUUUGAGGAAGGGGCAUCCCAUCCAAGACAAUUAUGUCAGUACUCUGGUCUUCAUGGAAAUGUUUGACUAAGGAGAUGCUUCUGGUCUUCAUGGUUCCUCAUUCAAGCACGGAUUAGCAAGCAAUACCCUUGUCAGUACUCUAGCACCACAAUUAUGUCAUUCUUCAGAGCAAUUCAAUCGGCUGUACUGAGCUUGGUCAUUGAAAGAGACAUUUCCUUGUGGGUUCUGAGAGGGAAAGCUGCGAUCUUAACUGUCUUGUAUGCUGGAAUAAUGGGAUCAGGAUUAAGCUUUGUGGGGAUGUCAUGGUGUGUAAAGAAAAGGGACCCCCUCUUUACUUCAGCAUUCAGCCCACUCAUUCAGAUAAUUGUAGCCAUAAUUGAUUUCUUUAUUCUACAUGAGAAACUAAACCUCGGAAGCGUAUUGGGAUCUGUUCUUGUGAUUAUUGGUCUCUAUUCUCUUGUGGGGCAAAAGUA